rnacentral:rRNA from 1 species
UCGGCGCAGCAAUAAAAACUAACCAGGUUCCCUUAGUAACGGCGAGUGAAGUGGGAAAUAUACUCGUUCAGCCCAACGAUAAAAUCUAUUCUUAGCUGGCUAGGCUUCUGUCUUCCAGCUGGAAGGAAUUGUAGCAUCGUAAACUUUUAACACACACACUGUUAAAUUCAAUAGUCGUUGUUGUAACAAACUUAACGUACAAACUCUAACUCAUUUGCAUCUUAUACAUACUUACCCAAACACACAGCGUUUAGCGCUGGAAAGCGAGUUAUUAUCAUGCCAUAGAGUGUGACAGCCACGUUUACCUUUGGUAGACACGCAAUGUUUUAUUGUUUUACAUGUUACGUAAUUCAUAGACUAACUUAACACACCUUUACCCUGAGUCGAGUUGUUUGGGACUACAGCUCAAAUCGUCUGGUGGUGGUAAUGACACAUCAAAGGCUAAAUAUUGGUGUUUUAUACGAUUGCAACGGAGACCGAUAGCAAACAAGUACCGUAAGGGAACGAUGAAAAGCACCCUUUUUAGCACGUGCGUCAC